GCAUUAGUUCAGUUGGUAGAGCAUAAGACUCUCAAGUCUCUGGGUUGUGGGUUCGAGGCCCACAUUCCUGUGCUGCA